GUGCCAGCAGCCGCGGUAAUACGUAGGGCGCAAGCGUUGUCCGGAAUUAUUGGGCGUAAAGAGCUCGUAGGCGGUUUGUCGCGUCUGGUGUGAAAACUCAAGGCUCAACCUUGAGCUUGCAUCGGGUACGGGCAGACUAGAGUGCGGUAGGGGUGACUGGAAUUCCNGGUGUAGCGGUGGAAUGCGCAGAUAUCAGGAGGAACACCGAUGGCGAAGGCAGGUCACUGGGCCGCAACUGACGCUGAGGAGCGAAAGCAUGGGGAGCGAACAGGAUUAGAUACCCUGGUAGUCCAUGCCGUAAACGUUGGGCACUAGGUGUGGGGCUCAUUCCACGAGUUCCGUGCCGCAGCAAACGCAUUAAGUGCCCCGCCUGUGGAGUACGGCCGCAAGGCUAAAACUCAAAGGAAUUGACGGGGGCCCGCACAAGCGGCGGAGCAUGCGGAUUAAUUCGAUGCAACGCGAAGAACCUUACCAAGGCUUGACAUACACCGGAAUCGCUCAGAGAUGGGCGGGUCUUCGGACUGGUGUACAGGUGGUGCGUGGUUGUCGUCAGCUCGUGUCGUGAGAUGUUGGGUUAAGUCCCGCAACGAGCGCAACCCUCGUCCUAUGUUGCCAGCACGCUGUGGUGGGGACUCAUAGGAGACUGCCGGGGUCAACUCGGAGGAAGGUGGGGAUGACGUCAAAUCAUCAUGCCCCUUAUGUCUUGGGCUUCACGCAUGCUACAAUGGCCGGUACAAAGGGCUGCGAUACCGCAAGGUGGAGCGAAUCCCAAAAAGCCGGUCUCAGUUCGGAUUGGGGUCUGCAACUCGACCCCAUGAAGUCGGAGUCGCUAGUAAUCGCAGAUCAGCAACGCUGCGGUGAAUACGUUCCCGGGCCUUGUACACACCGCCCGU
rnacentral:rRNA from 1 species